UACAGAGGGUGCGAGCGUUGUCCGGAAUCACUGGGCGUAAAGGGCGCGUAGGUGGUGGCUUAAGCGUGCGGUGAAAGCUCGGGGCUCAACUCCGAGUCGGCCGUGCGAACUGGGCUCACUGGAGCAUAGUAGAGGCAGGUGGAAUUCCGGGUGUAGCGGCGGAAUGCGUAGAGAUCCGGAAGAACACCGGUGGCGAAGGCGGCCUGCUGGGCUAUGGCUGACACUGAGGCGCGACAGCGUGGGGAGCAAACAGG
rnacentral:rRNA from 1 species